GGAAAGUCCACGCUUUCAAAGUGAAACUGGGAGGUGGGUGGGGAGCCGUGGUGGUAGAGUAUGAAACCCAAAUACACAUGCAAGGCAAAUCACAGCACUCUCCCCUCCACAAAGCAAGGAAGAGAGGAUGUAAAAUUUUGGCCUAUUCAUGCUUGUGUACCAACCGAUUCUUGUUAAAUAUUUAUGGACAAGAUUAAAGACUUUAUAAAACUUAGCAGCUGGCAGCAGUCCUCGCCUAAAGGAUAAAGCAGAGUUUUCAAUUUAAUUGGGAAACUGUGUGACCAAAAUAUCGAACCCCCAAGG
rnacentral:lncRNA from 1 species